GUGGUUUGCGUAUCUUCCGUCUGGCGAGAGGCGGCGUCAGGAGGAAGAGGGGAAGACAGACGGAUUCCCGUCAUAAUAAAGGGAUCUACCGUCUCUACGUGGUCAUCAGCAGUGUUCUUCUUUGCCAAACGUAUAGAAGGGCUCUCUUCUGCCAGAGGAGCUCGGUGGUUGUCACCCUUGGUUGUAAACUCAAAAAUAAAGAAACGCGCACGCUUUUUCCGAGUGGGAACGCUUUGGAAGGCUUGGUGGAGACACCUCGGGUGCAACGCUUCCCUUCCCGAAUCCAAAAGCGUCACCAACGUGGACUGAGGAUAGUGGGAGUGUAAAUGGGUGUCUCCUUGUUUACCGGAGGGGGGGGGGGGGGGGGCGGGGAUAAACCAAAAGACUGAGAACAUAUAGUGGGGGUGGAGGAACAUAUUCAGCCAGAAAACGAUCCGACAGCUCGACUCAAGUCUGAACAAUUGAGCCUCACAAAAAAAAUAAAACCCAGACUGGAAGUACAGUAAAUGUCUUGAGGUACAGUACAUGUCUUGAGGUACAGUACAUGUCUUGAGGUACAGGACAUGUCGGGGACUCUGGCUGCCGAAGAGAGGAGGACAGCGAAGGGGAAACAGCAGAUAAGAACUGACAGCCAUCAGGGGGGACGAUAACCCGGGAAUGGACCGGAGGCAGAGAGGAGAUGAGGAGACCACCGUCGGAGAUGAGAGAGAUGGGCACAAAGUGCAGACCAAGCAGGUCUCUCUUCAGAGAUACGAAAUAAGAUACAAAACCGACAAGAUACACAUCAGGAUGUACAAUACUCCAUUAUGAUAUAACACAACAUGCAGCAUUUUAUAUUACAUGACAUAGAGGCAGUGUACUGCACCCGUUCUACUUUGUGAGGGUAAACGAACCACAUACUAACCGUACAAGUGUGCAUUUCUCCACAAUCGUGUGUCUGUGUGUGUGUGUGUGUGUAUGUAUGUGUGUUCUUGUGUGUGUGUCUGUGUGUGUAUGUGUGUCUGUCUAUCUUGGUUAGAAUGUAGACACUCUUUGCUGUAUUUUGAUUACUGAGGGGAAACAUUUACUGUUGUGUUUCUGUUUCCCUAUCAACACGGGCUCUUAUUCAGAACAUGUUGACAUUGGGCCUGCAUCAACAUUACUAACGUGUUACAAUUUGUGAACAACACCAGUAACUGGCUGCAAUGACUGCAUGAGAAAUUGUACAAAGUGAAGUGCUAACAGUUUUUGUUUGUCAUUUUACGCACACACACACACACACACACACACACACACACACACACACACACACACACACACACACACACACACACACACACACACACACAAAUGUAACAGUCCCUAUGAUGUACCAAACACAACACGAGCCUGGUAUGCAGGUUGAGACAAACGGUUAGGACUAAGGAGAGCCAAUGAGAUCCCUACACGACCGCACUUAGUCAAAAAAAGAUGACAUCGCUUUCUGGUGGAAGCAAAAGAAAGCACAGCAUGUCCACAAGAAGCCCGGAUCUACCGUAUAUCUGACCGCCACUUGUGCGCCAUGUUUACAACAUAGGACUCCAGUUGUCUCUCUCCCAAACAAAAAAUCAAAGAAACCUUUUUUACAGUUGUCAGCAUAAGCAAAUAUUAUCCUGCAAGGUGUGUUUUGUUUUUUUGUUUUUUCAUAUUGCAUAAACCACGAUGUGGCUUUUGUUUCUAUGUGUUGAAAGCAAAAUAGCACAAGUGGACUCAAGAUAGCGGUCAGAAAAUCGUAAUCCGUUCCACUUGCCUGACCUAGACGUGCGAAGCGAAACCGUGCUUCUCCUUGUUUUAGUAGGAGCUACAAUGCUAGCCUAACGAGUUGGCUUAAGCUAGUUAGGCUAAUUAACCUUCUAAAUGUGUAUGCAUGAAGUUGAUACGGAGAAUGAGAGGUGAUAGAUGUGAUCGGAAUACUAGUUUUCUGUAUUCAUAUGUGCCUGUCAGCCACACAGUGAGGGAAAUGACGUGCACGUAGUAAUUGUAUCGACCUACAGAAGGCCUUAGUACAUUUCUCUACAAUCCUACUGUCACGGCAACACAUGUGAAUACAUUCAUUCAGUUAUCAGUUACAAGAGAUGUUGGCCAUUCUCAUCAUUCAUCAGGUACAUGCCUGGUAACACUUUUUAUAAGGGUUCAUUAAUUAACCAUGAAUCAACAUUAGUUGAUGCAGUUAUGUGCAUCAUGUUAUAUUAACUAACCGUAAAUGAACAGUUUGCUGAUGCGUCUAGUAAUCAUUUACUAAUGGUAUUCAUGUUAACUAGGGUAAUUAUGUAUGCAUUAUUUAAUGCAUACAACCGCUGCUUCUCCCCUUAUCUCAUACCUAUCACUGAAAACGAAAAGGGAAAGAAAUGGGAAAACAUCCUUGAAAAACACAAAGCAAUACUGAGAUUGUCAACUAACUAACUACCUAAGUACACUUUGACUUACAAGCACUGAACCACAAUACAAAAACCCAUCCCCUGUGCUAAUGCUAUAUAGUCAAGCUAAUGACUGCAUUAGAUAAUGUUAAUUUAUGGUUAAUUAAUGGACCCUUAUUGCCAAGUGUUACCAGUGACCUUGGUAAUGCAAGGUAACCUUAGUUGCUACGUGUGUGUAAUUAUAUUAUUGAAUACGUAUGACAUAUAUUCCACUGGCUCGUACAAAGGGUAAAAUAAUAAGGGUCCCCCUUAUUAUAUUAAUCUUUAUAUAACUUGUCUUACUCUCAGCACAACCAGUUUUUAAUUUAUUUUUAUAUUUUUCUUUUUUUACAUAUUUAUUUGCCGUGUGUGUGUGUGUGUGUGUGUGUGUGUGUGUGUGUGUGUGUGUGUGUGUGUGUGUGUGUGUGUGUGUGUGUGUGUGUGUGUGUGUGUGUGUGUGUGUGUGUGUGUGUGUGCUCGUGCACAUGCGCGCGCGCGCGUGUGUUAUCCGUCUACAGUUUGCCUCGCGCAACAUUAUAUAACGUCCAAGGCUGACGCCAUUUGUGUUUGAGAUGAAGGUUUAAAAGAUUCAGGUCCCGGAGUCAUUUUGUAUCACAAACGUGGCAUGAAAAUUCAAUUUUUGCCUUCAUUUUUUUUUUUACAAUUUCAGUUAAGCGUAGUCAUUUAAUGUAAAUAGUAUUUGUAUUUAGUUGCUGCUUCACAUUCUUUCACCUAUGGCUUUUCACGCAGGGCGUUAUUAUAGGUUCAAAGCAUGGUGACACAGAGGUCCUUUGUUCUCUCUUGGACAUUAGGACAAGGAGGAGGUCUCCAUGCGCCAAACAUGACGGAUUACACAGUCAGUGGAGAUGACUGCUAGAGGCUAAGUACUGUAACACUUAAGAGUAGCACAACAACAGCAACAGCACUUGCUGUGUUUGGAAGCACCAGAGCAAUGGCUGCACUGAGCCUCGGGAGCCUUUGAGCCUCUCAAAGGAACUCACUUUAUUUUUUCAUGUAUUUCUUUUUCUGUGACCCGACCUCUAGAACGGCUUGUUUGAGCGUGAGAUUGAAGAUGAUUGGUUACUUUGUAAAAGUCCAGUUUGAAUUGGGCAAAAUUAAGAUCAACACCCACAAUACAGGCCAAAACCAUCUUAACGUUAAUCACAACAAAGCCUUUUUGAACGAAGGGUCAUAAAAUGUAGAUAAAUUGUCUUGGACUAAUCUUAAUAAACCAGUGAUUAAGUCAGUAAUGUUAUUUGUAAUCCUUAAUGAGCACAUGUUCUUUAGAUCACUUUAGAGUUUUUGCUGUGGUCAGUUUAAAUCUAUCAGCUGAGUUGGCCUAACUGUUAAAAAAUAUAUAUGUGUUCCCUAACUGAUCUGAACUUCAGAUAAAAAGUUGUAAUGUAGUGCUUUUUGCAGAAGGUUAUCUACGUAUGUUGGUUACAUUUUUUGCUUUUCCACUAAAAUCAUACUAGCUUUGCUUACUGUUUCAACAAGGCUUUUACCUUCAGAUUGCAUCAAAUUCAACUCAA